GACGAACGCUGGCGGCGUGCUUAACACAUGCAAGUCGAACGGAAAGGCCCUGCUUUUGUGGGGUGCUCGAGUGGCGAACGGGUGAGUAACACGUGAGUAACCUGCCCUUGACUUUGGGAUAACUUCAGGAAACUGGGGCUAAUACCGGAUAGGAGCUCCUGCUGCAUGGUGGGGGUUGGAAAGUUUCGGCGGUUGGGGAUGGACUCGCGGCUUAUCAGCUUGUUGGUGGGGUAGUGGCUUACCAAGGCUUUGACGGGUAGCCGGCCUGAGAGGGUGACCGGCCACAUUGGGACUGAGAUACGGCCCAGACUCCUAUGGGAGGCAGCAGUGGGGAAUAUUGCACAAUGGGCGGAAGCCUGAUGCAGCAACGCCGCGUGCGGGAUGACGGCCUUCGGGUUGUAAACCGCUUUCGCCUGUGACGAAGCGUGAGUGACGGUAAUGGGUAAAGAAGCACCAGCUAACUACGUG
rnacentral:rRNA from 1 species